rnacentral:rRNA from 1 species
UACGUAGGGUGCGAGCGUUGAUCGGAAUUACUGGGCGUAAAGCGUGCGCAGGCGGUUUUGUAAGCCAGAUGUGAAAUCCCCGGGCUCAACCUGGGAAUGGCAUUUGGGACUGCAAGGCUCGAGUGCGGCAGAGGAGACUGGAAUUCAUGGUGUAGCAGUGAAAUGCGUAGAUAUCAUGAGGAAUACUAGAGGCGAAGGCGGCUACCUGGACAAUUGCUGACGCUCAGGCACGAAAGCGUGGGGAGCAAACAGG